rnacentral:rRNA from 1 species
UGGGGAAUAUUGCACAAUGGGCGCAAGCCUGAUGCAGCCAUGCCGCGUGUAUGAAGAAGGCCUUCGGGUUGUAAAGUACUUUCAGCGGGGAGGAAGGGAGUAAAGUUAAUACCUUUGCUCAUUGACGUUACCCGCAGAAGAAGCACCGGCUAACUCCGUGCCAGCAGCCGCGGUAAUACGGAGGGUGCAAGCGUUAAUCGGAAUUACUGGGCGUAAAGCGCACGCAGGCGGUUUGUUAAGUCAGAUGUGAAAUCCCCGGGCUCAACCUGGGAACUGCAUCUGAUACUGGCGAGCUUGAGUCUCGUAGAGGGGGGUAGAAUUCCAGGUGUAGCGGUGAAAUGCGUAGAGAUCUGGAGGAAUACCGGUGGCGAAGGCGGCCCCCUGGACAAAGACUGACGCUCAGGUGCGAAAGCGUGGGGAGCAAACAGG